rnacentral:rRNA from 1 species
AGUGAACGCUGGCGGUAGGCCUAACACAUGCAAGUCGAACGGCAGCACAGUAAGAGCUUGCUCUUACGGGUGGCGAGUGGCGGACGGGUGAGGAAUACAUCGGAAUCUACUUUUUCGGGGGGGAUAACGUAGGGAAACUUACGCUAAUACCGCAUACGACCUACGGGUGAAAGCAGGGGAGCUUCGGACCUUGCGCGACUGAAUGAGACGAAGUCGGAUUAGCUAGUUGGGGGGGUAAAGGCCCACCAAGGCGACGAUCCGUAGCUGGUCUGAGAGGAUGAUCAGCCACACUGGAACUGAGACACGGUCCAGACUCCUACGGGAGGCAGCAGUGGGGAAUAUUGGACAAUGGGCGCAAGCCUGAUCCAGCCAUACCGCGUGAGUGAAGAAGGCCUUCGGGUUGUAAAGCCCUUUUGUUGGGAAAGAAAAGCAGCAGGUUAAUACCCCGCUGUUCUGACGGUACCCAAAGAAUAAGCACCGGCUAACUUCGUG